rnacentral:rRNA from 1 species
UUACCCGCUGGAAUUAAGCAUAUCAAUAAGCGGAGGAAAAGAAACUAACAAGGAUUCCCCUAGUAACGGCGAGUGAAGAGGGAAAAGCUCAAAUUUUGAAUCUGGUGCCCUUGGCAUCCGAGUUGUAAUCUAGAGAAGUGUUUUCUGCCUUGGACCACACAUAAAUUCCCUGGAAUGGGGUGUCAUAGAGGGUGAGAAUCCCGUUUGUGGUGUGGACUACCUUGGCUCUGUGAUACACUCUCAACGAGUCGAGUUGUUUGGGAAUGCAGCUCAAAAUGGGUGGUAAAUUCCAUCUAAAGCUAAAUAUUGGCGAGAGACCGAUAGCGAACAAGUACCGUGAGGGAAAGAUGAAAAGCACUUUGGAAAGAGAGUGAAACAGUACGUGAAAUUGUUGAAAGGGAAACACUUGA